rnacentral:lncRNA from 1 species
GCAAUUCUGGGAAUGUUCAGGCUCUCUCUGUUCUUUCCUCUCUUGCAAACCAUGGGCACCCUUGGGUCCCUUGGGGUCACUAUGUUACACCUGCUUUUUAUCUGUCUGGGCAAGAGCUGCUCAAGCCACACCUUGUGACACUGAGAUCAGCUAUGAAAAUACCCAGCCGGCCUGCAGCCCUCCCGGCAGAUGCUGAAAAGGAAACCCGACUGGGAGAUGCCGCCCACCCUUAUCCCCAGAGAGCUGCGUUGUUUCCUCUUGCCUUGGCCUUUGGAUCCGGCCAUAGCAAGCAUCCCUGGGCACCUGGCUGAAGCUGGAAACUCGGGAUAAGAAUGGAAGCCCUGGAAGGGAAGAAGAACCGAGGAGAGGACAGCACAUUGCACUCUCACCUCCUUUGCAGUUAAGUGUGAAAUAGUGCCAAUAGAGUGUAAAAGAAAAGAAAGAAGAUGAUUCACCUCCCAAAGAUUCCCCACUGCUGUGUCCCUUCUAUCAACUUGAUACAAAAAAACACAAUGGCCCCGGGAACCACGUGUUGAAGAUGAGAGAGCUAAAAGAUGGAAAGAGACUGGAGCCCUGAGUCACCACCUGGAGGAAAACUACC